UCUUCUCUCUUUCUUCUUCUUCUUCUUCUUCUUCUAUUCUUCUUCGUUUUUCUCUCUGGCGAUUCUGGAAGUUUUGAGAGAUGAAAUUAGAUUAUGAGAUCGUGAGGAUUGAGUGGAGAUGAAGGCAUAUUUGAGGAUGUCGACGUUGAAUCGAUUAUUGUACUCGGAAUUCAUAGAGAGAGUUAGUCUGUAUUAACUACGAUCGAUUCAAAGGAUGAACCAACGGAUUGAGGAAUUCAAGGUAGGAGUGGCUUGUCAUCAAAUCAGUUUCAGUUUUCAGAAGAAAUGGUGCGCGCGAGGAUAUAUUCGUUUUCUUUGCUAAAAAACUUUAACGAUUCUAAAGAUGUUGUGUUAUUUGUUAUAUGUAUUCUUUGUUAAUCUGUAAAACAACAUAUUAUUAUAUUCAUAUCACCCGAGAGACUUUCAUUUAAAUAAUGUCAGAGUAUGUGGGUUUAUUUUGAGACUA